rnacentral:sRNA from 1 species
AAAACACCAAAAAAAAA